rnacentral:rRNA from 1 species
CGCGUAGGUGGUUUGUUAAGUUGAAUGUGGAAUCCCCGGGCUCAACCUGGGAACUGCAUCCAAAACUGGCAAGCUAGAGUAUGGUAGAGGGUAGUGGAAUUUCCUGUGUAGCGGUGAAAUGCGUAGAUAUAGGAAGGAACACCAGUGGCGAAGGCGACUACCUGGACUGAUACUGACACUGAGGUGGCGAAAGCGUGGGGAGCAAACAGGAUUAGAUACCCUGGUAGUCCACGCCGUAAACGAUGUCAACUAGCCGUUGGGAGUCUUGAACUCUUAGUGGCGCAGCUAACGCAUUAAGUUGACCGCCUGGGGAGUACGGCCGCAAGGUUAAA